UACGAAGGGGGCUAGCGUUGCUCGGAAUCACUGGGCGUAAAGGGUGCGUAGGCGGGUCUUUAAGUCAGGGGUGAAAUCCUGGAGCUCAACUCCAGAACUGCCUUUGAUACUGAGGAUCUUGAGUUCGGGAGAGGUGAGUGGAACUGCGAGUGUAGAGGUGAAAUUCGUAGAUAUUCGCAAGAACACCAGUGGCGAAGGCGGCUCACUGGCCCGAUACUGACGCUGAGGCACGAAAGCGUGGGGAGCAAGCAGG
rnacentral:rRNA from 1 species